AUGCUCCGACUCCUGGCGUGGGGUGUCGGGAAAGAUUUCAUCGGUAUGGGACGGGGUCGCGUCCUAUCAGGUAGUCGGCGGGGUAACGGCCCACCGAGCCUACGACGGGUAGCCGGCCUGAGAGGGCGACCGGCCACAUUGGGACUGAGAUACGGCCCAGACUCCUACGGGAGGCAGCAGUGGGGAAUAUUGCACAAUGGGCGCAAGCCUGAUGCAGCGACGCCGCGUGCGGGAUGACGGCCUUCGGGUUGUAAACCGCUUUUGAUCGGGAGCAAGCCUUCGGGUGAGUGUACCUUUCGAAU
rnacentral:rRNA from 1 species